AAGCCAGACUCCUACGGGAGGCAGCAGUGGGGAAUAUUGCACAAUGGGGGAAACCCUGAUGCAGCGACGCCGCGUGAGUGAAGAAGUAAUUCGUUAUGUAAAGCUCUAUCAGCAGGGAAGAAAAUGACGGUACCUGAGUAAGAAGCCCCGGCUAACUACGUGCCAGCAGCCGCGGUAAUACGUAGGGGGCAAGCGUUAUCCGGAUUUACUGGGUGUAAAGGGAGCGUAGACGGCAGUGCAAGUCUGGAGUGAAAGGCGGGGGCUCAACCCCCGGACUGCUCUGGAAACUGCGGCGCUGGAGUACGGGAGGGGCAGGCGGAAUUCCUGGUGUAGCGGUGAAAUGCGUAGAUAUCAGGAGGAACACCGGCGGCGAAGGCGGCCUGCUGGACCGUGACUGACGUUGAGGCUCGAGAGCGUGGGGAGCAAACAGGAUUAGAUACCCCAGUAU
rnacentral:rRNA from 1 species